GAUGUCGGAGAUAUCAGACCUGACGAUGACGCUGCCGUUCAUGGACCCCGGUCAGGUGUUCUCGAACGCGCGGGACCAGUUCCACCUCGGUAUCGGGAAGACCGAGGUCGGGACGUACAACCGGGACUACGAGGCCGCAUCCAGGACCUUCAUGCAAACCUUGCUGGGUGAUCUGCAGUGCACGAAGUUGGACAAGGCGAUUGACAACUCUCUCGGGCA
rnacentral:misc_RNA from 1 species